GUUUCAUUCACUGGUGUCAGGAUGAUUCUUCCCAACAUAGGAGCGCUAGCUGUGGUGUGCUGGAUAAUGUGUGUGAGAAACACAGCAUCUCAGGCAUAUGCUCCAGCCCCUACAUUCGGCUAUCGAUUCAGAAUAAAUGAAAGUAAUAUUGAGCUAAACUCUAUAGUAGAGGUUGCUUGUGGCACCACUUGGAGUGCUCCGUAUCCCAUAACUGUGUCUGUGGGCAAGUUGGAAAGCCCCUCGCAGACCCCAGAAACCACAGAAGCCUGGGUGACAUCUGAGGUCAUCAGUCGAUCAGAUACAAUAUAUUUCACAAUCCCUGCGACGGCCAAGUAUGAAGGAAAGAUUGUGUGCUGGUACAAAUCCACUCGAACUGACUCAAAGAAUCCAUAUUCUGAAUUAAGCAGCCCUAUUACCUUAGUCGUAUCUGCCCUCUCUGAUCCCAAAGUGACUGUGUACCCCUAUCUUUUUCGUAAGGGUGAAAAUUACACUGUACAGUGUGAAUCAGCCUAUAACCUAGCCACAAACUUCACAUUGAGUCUGUAUUACCGCAUCCUCCCUGUCAGCCCUGGCACCAACUGGACCUUCGCUGGUUCACUGUUUCUCACAAAUCACACUAGUAUCGUUUUAAGACAGACGAAUGCCGUUGUCCCAAUAGAGUUUGCCUGCAGUAUGGAGAUGUUGUACAAUGGAAAAGUCUUACAUUCAUCUCUGUCCAAAAGUGAGCAAGCCAUCCCAGAAGAGCUUCCGGUUCGGCUCUGGGAGCAGGAACGUGGAGAGAGCUGCCUAGGAUAUCUGGAUGUCACUCUCAAAGGCAAGUGGGAACCUGUUUGUCAGAAGGAAGUCGAUACUGAAGCCGAUUCAUCUACUGCUGCUGCCACGGCUGAAGUGGUGUGUAGGGAACUGGGAUGUGGGCAUGUGCUGAAGUGGGAAAGGCUUUUGGAUGACAGACGACAGUUCACACAGACAGUUGGGGGUAUCCGAUGCAUUGGGAAAGAAAAAAAGAUCAAAGAUUGUCCAAUGGAGGAAAUUGAAGCCUGCAAACAGAGAGGCAUGCUCUAUAUUAUUUGCUCAGAUGCAUUGCCCCGUCCUAAACUGUAUGUGGAUACGUAUGGCCCUAACCCCAAACUGUAUGUCAGGGACAAAGAAAAUGUGAAAAUCUCCUGCUCCAUCGACUCCGCUUAUUUAAAAUCAAACGACUAUGGGUACUUAGAGUUUAGAAGGGACGGUGCUUAUUUGAGUCAAAGUUACAGCACACCAGGCUUCCCCGAGUCUAUCACACAGUAUGCCCCAGUGCCUCAAGGAGAGUAUGAAUGUGUAUUCCAUCUUACGUCUUCAAAAAUGAAACUAACGUCUCAGCCCAGCAAUUCAGUCUUCAUUUACAUAUACAAUCCAGUGCCAAUUGUUGCAGGUGUUCUCACAACUGCUCUUGGGUUAGCAAUUCUGGUGUAUAUCUGUAAAUACAGAACCGCGGCACAAGAGGUACAGCCCAAUGAAUUUCCACAGACCAAUGCUGAAAAUCCAGAUAACAAUGCCAGCUACCCACCUCAACAACUGCAAGCCAAAGAAAUUUAAUCUGUUUAAAUUCUUCCCAACAACCUUCCACAGUAAAUAUAAUGUUUGAUAAAUAUUGAAAAAGGCCAAAAGGUGAAUUAAUUUUGCAAUGCGGUUGUACUGAAAAUGUUCAUGAGAAGAGAAUAUUUAGAUAUCAAAGGUAAUGCAACUAAAAUUGUAUGAUGAAAAUUAACUAACCUACUGUAGU
ensembl:lncRNA uncharacterized LOC107585133